UACGUAGGGGGCAAGCGUUGUCCGGAAUCAUUGGGCGUAAAGAGCGUGUAGGCGGCCCUAUAAGUCCGCUGUGAAAGUCCAGGGCUCAACCCUGGGAUGCCGGUGGAUACUGUCGGGCUCGAGUCCGGAAGAGGAGUGUGGAAUUCCUGGUGUAGCGGUGAAAUGCGCAGAUAUCAGGAGGAACACCAAUGGCGAAGGCAGCACUCUGGGACGUGACUGACGCUGAGACGCGAAAGCGUGGGGAGCAAACAGG
rnacentral:rRNA from 1 species